GCUGCCGCUGGAUGAGUUGGUGGAAUAUCUGACCUUUGGAGCCAGUCAGCAGGCUUCGGUGGAAGCCAUUUAAAAGAUCGCAGCCUUCGGCAGCUCC
rnacentral:tRNA from 1 species